rnacentral:rRNA from 1 species
GGCCCUACGGGGCGCAGCAGGCGCGAAACCUCUACAAUGCACGAAAGUGUGAUAGGGGGACCCUAAGUGCUCAGCUAUGCUGGGCUUUUGCUAAGAGUAAAAACCUUGGCGAAUAAGUGGUGGGCAAGACAGGUGCCAGCCGCCGCGGUAACACCCGCGCCACAAGUGGCAAUCAGUUUUAUUGGGCCUAAAGCGUCCGUAGCAGGACUUGUAAAUCUCUUGUGAAAUUGUUGCGCUCAACGUAACAGCGUGCAAGAGACACUACAAGACUUGGGACCGGGAGGAGUCAGAGGUAUUUCGUGGGGAGCGGUAAAAUGCUAUAAUCCACGAAGGACCACCUAUGGCGAAGGCAUCUGACCAGAACGGAUCCGACUGUGAGGGACGAAAGCUAGGGGAGCGAACCGGAUUAGAUACCCGAGUAGUCCUAGCUGUAAACUCUGCGAGCUAGGUGUUGCACAAUCUACGGGAUUGUGCAGUAUCGAAGCGAAGGCGUUAAGCUCGCCGCCUGGGAAGUACGGUCGCAAGGCUGAAACUUUAAGGAAUUGGCGGGGGAGCAC